rnacentral:rRNA from 1 species
GACGAACGCUGGCGGCGUGCCUAACACAUGCAAGUCGAGCGGGGUUGAAGCGAGGGGUAACUCGAGUUUCUACCUAGCGGCGGACGGGUGAGUAACGCGUGGGCAACCUGCCUCAAGGACUGGGAUAACAGCUCGAAAGGGCUGCUAAUACCGGAUAAGCCUAUGGCCUCGCAUUGGGGCCAUGAGCAAAGGGGAAACCCGCCUUGAGAUGGGCCCGCGUCCCAUCAGCUAGUUGGUGAGGUGAAGGCUCACCAAGGCGACGACGGGUAGCCGGCCUGAGAGGGUGACCGGCCACACUGGGACUGAGACACGGCCCAGACUCCUACGGGGGGCAGCAGUGGGGAAUCUUGCACAAUGGGCGAAAGCCUGAUGCAGCGACGCCGCGUGAGCGAAGAAGGCCUUGGGUUGUAAAGCUCUGUCUGGAGGGACGAAGGAAGUGACGGUACCUCCAGAGGAAGCCACGGCUAACUACGUGCCAGCCAGCCGCGGUAAUCAUACUCGUA